UACGUAGGUGGCAAGCGUUAUCCGGAAUUAUUGGGCGUAAAGCGCGCGCAGGCGGUUUCUUAAGUCUGAUGUGAAAGCCCACGGCUCAACCGUGGAGGGUCAUUGGAAACUGGGGAACUUGAGUGCAGAAGAGAAAAGCGGAAUUCCACGUGUAGCGGUGAAAUGCGUAGAGAUGUGGAGGAACACCAGUGGCGAAGGCGGCAUCCUGGACCGACACUGACGCUGAGGAGCGAAAGCCAGGGGAGCAAACGGG
rnacentral:rRNA from 1 species